UAACAAGGUAGCCGUAGGGGAACCUGCGGCUGGAUCACCUCCUUUCUAAGGAUGGUUCUUCAGAUCAGCUUGCUUCUAUCGAACCGUUUUAGAAACAUCAGGGGCCAACGGUCGUCAGGAUCGUUGAGCUGCAUUGGCGGGAUUUCGCCGUCUUCGUUUCUCUUUCUUCGCGGACGAACACGCGCUGGGGCUGCAACCUUGCAGAAUCCCUGGUCCUUGACUGGUAUAUGCGUUAGGGGCUUGUAGCUCAGUUGGUUAGAGCGCGCGCUUGAUAAGCGUGAGGUCGGAAGUUCAAGUCUUCCCAGGCCCACCACACUCAUCGAGUGAGCAUUCGUCUUCUGGUACGGGGCCAUAGCUCAGCUGGGAGAGCGCGUGCUUUGCAAGCAUGAGGUCGUCGGUUCGAUCCCGUCUGGCUCCACCAGAUGGUUUGAUCACCGACUACUCAUACCGUCGUCCGCGAAACAUCACUUCGCACUUACUGGUCCGGAUGGACAGUAAGCUGCGUGAUUUCUGACAUCGUAAAGAGGAGAUCGAUCCGAGUUGGAUCGGGCAACAAGUAAUUGUUGCGCGAUACUUCAUUAUCUCCGGAUCAUUUCGGCGCUCGUGCGUCUUCCCAGGGUAGCUCACAAGGCUGCGUCUGAAGGACACGCGAGUUGUAAAUGAUCCUUUUAGCGAAGCUUGACCGCCUCGCUAUCGGAACGAUCUUACGAAGCAAGCUGGUCUUUCUAAUCAUUGUCCGGCUGCAGAUAGCGUUCAUCGAGGGCGCGUGCCUUAGAGACUAGUUCUUGGCAAUUCUGCAGACAACAUUCUGCCGAGUGUGUGGACAUUGAUAAUGAGAGCAAUCAAGUGCCUUAAGGGUGUUCGGUGG
rnacentral:misc_RNA from 1 species